rnacentral:rRNA from 1 species
GCAAGUCGUGGGGCAGCAUGUCCCGCAGCAAUGCGGGAUGAUGGCGACCGGCAAACGGGUGCGGAACACGUACACAACCUUCCUUUUAGUGGAGAAUAGCCCAGGGAAACUUGGAUUAAUACUCCGUAACAUAUAGAAGUGGCAUCACUUUUAUAUUAUAGCAGCAAUGCGCUAGAAGAUGGGUGUGCGGCUGAUUAGAUAGUUGGCGGGGUAACGGCCCACCAAGUCGACGAUCAGUAACUGGUGUGAGAGCACGACCAGUCACACGGGCACUGAGACACGGGCCCGACUCCUACGGGAGGCAGCAGUAAGGAAUAUUGGUCAAUGGACGCAAGUCUGAACCAGCCAUGCCGCGUGGAGGAUGAAGGUCCUCUGGAUUGUAAACUUCUUUUAUUUGGGAAGAAACCCAUCUUUUCUAAGAUGGUUGACGGUACCAGAUGAAUAAGCACCGGCUAACUCCGUGCCAGCAGCCGCGGUAAUACGGAGGGUGCAAGCGUUAUCCGGAUUCACUGGGUUUAAAGGGUGCGUAGGUGGGCAAGUAAGUCAGUGGUGAAAUCUCCGGGCUUAACCCGGAAACUGCCAUUGAUACUGUUUGUCUUGAAUACUGUGGAGGUCAGCGGAAUAUGUCAUGUAGCGGUGAAAUGCUUAGAUAUGACAUAGAACACCAAUUGCGAAGGCAGCUGGCUACACAAAUAUUGACACUGAGGCACGAAAGCGUGGGGAUCAAACAGGAUCAGAUACCCUGGUAGUCCACGCCCUAAACUAUGGAUACUCGACAUUUGCGAUAAACUGCAAGUGUCUGAGCGAAAGCAUUAAGU